UAGUGUAGUGACCAUACAUAUAUAGUUCUCAUAAAAAUACACACUGAAACCAACCAUAAAAACUCUCUCUAAUUAAUGCAUUUAAAAAACACAAAUGCGAUCAAAAUCGCAACAAAGGUAACAAUUGACCCGACGGCAUAAUGAUACCAAGCCUCUUUACUAAUUGCAUAUUUCUAAUCUUUCUAAUCUUCAGGCGCAUUGCGUCCAUCUCGCUCUUAUGACCAUCAACGAC
rnacentral:lncRNA from 1 species